UGUUUAAGGAUGGUUCUAGUUACCUAACUCCCAAGAAUACCUACACAAGUGAACAAUAGCCAAUGUUUACGAAAAGCCCAGUUAGUACCAAAUGCUGUUGGGUCCAUACACUCAUUAUCUCAUCUUUUCAGACAAGGAAACUGAGGCUUGGAGAUGUUAGGGAACUUGCCCAAAGUCCUAAAGCUGGUAAGCGGGAGAGACAGAAGCAGAAACAGAGCUAGCUCUUUUCCCCACUACACUCAUAGCCAUGAUGUCAAUAUUAUCACUGUAAUGGGCAUCCUCUUAUUGCAAUGGCUCUUUUUAUAGGCGUAUGGUUUCAAAGAUAAAUUUAAGCUAACAUUAUAAACUUUGUCACAUUCUCUCCCAGAAGUACUUAACUUCUUUAAUGACUGCAUAACUUUUAUUCCCAUAAUAGUCCUAGUUUUACUUCUGAAAAAAGGAAGCAAUUCCUGUCUCACAAUUCUAUAGUAACGAUGCAUCUAAAUUCACGUUUCCGUAGUAUGAAAUUUUAGGAAAGCUCUUUCUGGUUAUUAACUGGCCUUCAGCGGAGCUAGUUUGCCUAUUUAAGUGAGCAGUAUGUGGAAUUUCUUCCAGAUCACUCGCACGCCACUAGCUAGAGCCGGCAAAAACACUGAUCUCACGGCCGCCCACUCAGCUAGAUCUCUUUCUGCAGGCACUGACUCCGUUUCCAAACCCAACACGCCGACAGUGGCUUUUUGCUCGUCUGUACGCGUCAGUUGCUCCAAGCGGUUAUCCCUACAGCUGAUCUGGGUUGCUUUCAACAUAUCAACUACGGAGCUAUGAAGACAACCCUGGGUUUGGCUUUUCUAAGGAAUUUCAAGCUCCUAACUAUGCCUUGGUGGAGGGAAGGCCACGCACCCUGAGGGGGCACAAGUUUUCCUCUUUUUCAAAAGUUUCUAUCUUUUGCCCAGACACAGGAGUAAGAGCACACACGACUACCCUCGGCGAGCCCGGCGUGGCAUCCCUCGGAGCGCGGGGUACAAUGGGAAAUAGGCCUCAGGCCCCGCCCACCUAAUACUACUCGCCCUCAUCAGACGCCGGGCCCUCUCGGACUCCAGCAGCCUCGGCCUCGCCCACCUCGACCCCCACCCCCGCCUCUGGCUCCGCCCACUCAAGUCCAGCCAGCCUCAGGCUCCUUGGUCGCCUCAGGCUCCGCCCGCCUGAGGCCCCAACCCCGGGUCCCCAGGCCUCCUGAAGCUCCGCCCCCGAGGCUCCGCCUCCCUCGGGCCGGUUUGCCACAGGCCCAGCGGUCAUGGUGGCGUCGCUGGGCUGAAGGAAGUCGUCGCCGCUCCGGCCGCCUGGCCCUCUCACCUCGGGUUGUGGUUCAGGUUCAGCGCGAUCCAAGGGUUGAAUCAUCUACCUUCUGAUUAAGUUUGAUCAUGUGAGAAAUGACCACUGAGCAGAAUAUGAAGGAUGAAAGUGGAAAAUAGCAACACACAGCCACAAGUUUCAGGAGGUAACAACAUUGACUAGAGACAUCUGGAAUGUGAAGACUGCUGUGCGAGGCUACCAUGUGGUGGGGCGCCAGGAGGGAGGGAGGAGGACAAAGGAAGCUCCGACUGUUUUUUAAAUAUUCAUUUCUUUGCACCCACCUGCAGCAAAUAUGAUAAAACGUUAACAUUUAUUAAAUACCGGCGAAGGGUUCAUGGCUGUUCGUUAUACUAUCCUCUAAUAUUUUCCCUCUGUAUUUUUCUGUAUGGCUGAAAGAGUUCCUUAAAAAUAAACAUGUGCUACUGUGUGUACUACUACUCUUUACACUGUGGAAAGCUUCAUGGAACCAGAGAAAAAUAACAGAAUUGGGGAGUCUGGAGAAUCAGAUUCAAGUCCUAACUAUGCCAUUAAUCAGCUACAGGAUUUUAAGUAACUCACAACCUUUCUAGAAUUCAAGAACUUAUCAAAUCAAGAACUUUACCAAAUAAAAUACGAAAUGAUAUCUUA